rnacentral:misc_RNA from 1 species
UCGUUUGAACAGUCAUAUGUCUCCUCCAUCUGCUGUCGACUUGGUAUCAGCACACCAGGAAUCACGGUAAAGAGAACUGCUGACACACGAUCCGAACCUGAUCCAGCUGGUUCCGCCUGAGCAUAAGCGUCUGCAAAGACCGCCACCGAGCAAAGUGUUUGUGCCCAACCUGCCAGACCGCCAGAGCAAAGAGCCAGUCCGAGCCGCAUUGAGCCAGAACUAGAGCCGCCGACCGACAAAUGCCAACAACAGAACACUAAGACAACGCUGAAAAGCCGCCUGGAGCUGCACGAUGGCGAAAUUCCACCAGCCACCAGAGCAGGAGACGUUGUAGCGACUGAGACACGUGGUAUGUUAUGCCAGCACAAGAGUGACACUGUGAAACGAUGACGACAGCGCGAAGGUGAAACUGUGAACUGCGAGAGCAGAAGGCCAGCACCUUGAGAACAUGUGCCAGAGCGAAAGAGCCAAAGCCAUGACGAUAAGCCAGUGAGUGCCAAUGAGCCCAUAAGAGCUAAGUGUUUCUUGCCAAUGAGAGCCAGAGCUGAAACAAGCCAGAGCCAUUAAGAGCAGAGAGGACCAGAGCCAACGAGCUUGCGUCUGAGCCCCACAGAGGAGCCACGAGCACAAAAGGCAGUCUGAAGUUGAUCUUCAUGAUCCAAGAUUCGCAUUCAGAAAGGAUGUAGGCAGUCGAACCUCGACAUGAGGAUGUAGACAAGACCGAACCUUUAAUCUAUAGAAAAGAGGAUGUAAGCAAACAGCUGAACCUCUGGGGAUAAUAUAUUCGGACCACUGAGUCCCACCCAAAUUG